GUGCUGGUGGCUUAGUGGUUAGCAUGUUUGCCUUGCAUCUCUGGAGUUGGGGGUUCGAAUCCCACUUCCGCACU